rnacentral:rRNA from 1 species
GGUUAAGCGACUAAGCGUACACGGUGGAUGCCCUGGCAGUCAGAGGCGAUGAAGGACGUGCUAAUCUGCGAUAAGCGUCGGUAAGGUGAUAUGAACCGUUAUAACCGGCGAUUUCCGAAUGGGGAAACCCAGUGUGUUUCGACACACUAUCAUUAAUUGAAUCCAUAGGUUAAUGAGGCGAACCGGGGGAACUGAAACAUCUAAGUACCCCGAGGAAAAGAAAUCAACCGAGAUUCCCCCAGUAGCGGCGAGCGAACGGGGAGCAGCCCAGAGCCUGAAUCAGUGUGUGUGUUAGUGGAAGCGUCUGGAAAGGCGCGCGAUACAGG